rnacentral:rRNA from 1 species
UACGUGAGGGGCGAACGUUGUUCGGUGUCACUGGGCUUAAAGGGUGCGUAGGUGGUUGCGUAAGUAACGUGUGAAAUCCCCUCGGCUUACCCGGGGAAUUGCAUGUUAUACUGCGUGACUUGAGGACUAAAGGGGAAAAGGGAACUCCAGGUGUAGCGGUGAAAUGCGCAGAUAAUCUGGGGGGAAGGCCGGCGGCGAAGGCGCUUUUCUGGUUAGAUCCUGACACUGAGGCACGAAAGCGUGGGGAGCAAACAGGG